AAAAAGGCUUUAUUCAAAGCCAGCUCUAAGGAGAUUGAGGGCUUUAU
rfam:Heterocephalus glaber contig115304, whole genome shotgun sequence.